rnacentral:rRNA from 1 species
UUGCCCCAGUAACGGCGAGUGAAGCGGCAACAGCUCAAAUUUGAAAUCUGGCUUCGGCCCGAGUUGUAAUUUGUAGAGGAUGCUUUUGGUGAGGUGCCUUCUGAGUUCCCUGGAACGGGACGCCAGAGAGGGUGAGAGCCCCGUAUAGUCGGCCACCGAUCCUCUGUAAAGCUCCUUCGACGAGUCGAGUAGUUUGGGAAUGCUGCUCAAAAUGGGAGGUAUAUCUCUUCUAAAGCUAAAUAUUGGCCAGAGACCGAUAGCGCACAAGUAGAGUGAUCGAAAGAUGAAAAGCACUUUGAAAAGAGGGUUAAAUAGCACGUGAAAUUGUUGAAAGGGAAGCGCUUGUGACCAGACUUGUGCCGGGCUGAUCAUCCAGUGUUCUCACUGGUGCACUCGACCCGGCUCAGGCCAGCGUCGGUUCUCGCGGGGGGAUAAAAGCUUCGGGAACGUGGCACCUCCGGGUGUGUUAUAGCCCGCUGCUUAAUACCUUCGCGGGGACCGAGGUUCGCGCUCUGCAAGGACGCUGGCAUAAUGGUCAUCAGCGACCCGUCUUGAAACACGGACCAAGGAGUCGAGGUUUUGCGCGAGUGUUUGGGUGUAAAACCCGCACGCGUAAUGAAAGUGAACGUAGGUGAGAGCUUCGGCGCAUCAUCGACCGAUCCUGAUGUAUUCGGAUGGAUUUGAGUAAGAGCGUAUAGCCUCGGACCCGAAAGAUGGUGAACUAUGCCUGAAUAGGGUGAAGCCAGAGGAAACUCUGGUGGAGGCUCGCAGCGGUUCUGACGUGCAAAUCGAUCGUCAAAUUUGGGCAUGGGGGCGAAAGACUAAUCGAACCAUC